CUGGAGGAGAGACAAUAAUGAUAAAAGAUUUCUUGAAGCCACAGCUAUAACAAGCAGCAGCUAUAAAGAGACAACAUCGGCAGAGAAUAGUGUCCAAGGUCUCUACUGUGUAACCAGGAAUUAGUUUUGUUAAAUGAUACCCAGAGAUUUGGUCACAAUUUUUUGUACAAGUUUGUGAAUCGACUUUCCGUGGAUGAUCAACUAUUUCAUCCAACCAAACAAGAAACAAAAUGACAUGAUGUGGUUUUUUAAUUCUCUGCGUGUUGGUGCACGGCCAAGUGGUUAAAGCAAUGGUCUACUGAUCUGAAGGUCGCUAGUUCGAGCCUCGGCUGAGGCAGUGUGUUGUGUCCUUGAGCAAGGCACUUAAACACACAUUGCUCUGCAACGACACCGGUGCCAAACUGUAUCGGCUCUUGCCCUUCCCUUGGACAACAUCGGUGUCGUGGAGAGGGGAGACUUGCAGCAUGGGCAACUACUGGUCUUCCACACAACCCUGCCCAGGCCUGCACCCUGGAAACUUUCCAAGGUGCAAAUCCAUGGUCUUUCAAGACUAACAGAUGCCUAUUAAUUAUUAUUCUCUGCACAUCGGGUGUUAGACAGCCUUUUUUCAUAUAUACGGAGUUCGUUUUUGGGUUACUUUGUUUCAU